rnacentral:rRNA from 1 species
UACGAAGGGGGCUAGCGUUGCUCGGAAUCACUGGGCGUAAAGGGUGCGUAGGCGGGUCUUAAGUCAGGGGUGAAAUCCUGGAGCUCAACUCCAGAACUGCCUUUGAUACUGAUAGUCUCGAGUCCGGAAGAGGUGAGUGGAAUUCCGAGUGUAGAGGUGAAAUUCGUAGAUAUUCGGAGGAACACCAGUGGCGGAAAGCGGCUCACUGGUCCGGUACUGACGCUGAGGUGCGAAAGCGUGGGGAGCAAACAGGG